UAUGGGAGUUAGCUUAGUUGGUAGAGCAUGAGGCUCUUAAUCUUAGGGGUGUGGGUUUGAGCCCCACUUUGGAAA
rnacentral:tRNA from 1 species